UUACGGUCAUAUCACUUUGAAACACCGGUUUCCGUACGAUUACCGAAGAUAAGCAAAGUCGAGCUUGGUCAGUAACUAGGUGGGUGACCUUUUGUGAAUAGCAGGUGCUGUAA